AUAUCAGAGACAUUUUGAAUUCUGCAGCUCAGGGAGAAGGAGGAUUCCGCUGUGUGCCUCCACCCUGCCCUGCCCCUACUACACCAGGAAGUGAAGCACAGGACCAUGAACAGACUCGGUCAAGGGGGAGUCUGCUGUCCCUGCUUCCGAUCCCAGUCACAGCCUGCGUGUUCCUCAUUGUGUGGAUGUGAGGAGCUGUCCAGUACAACAACAGCCACACUGACGUGUCUGGCCAUCAAGGGCUUCCCCUCAGACUGGACCAUGAGCUGGAAAGUGGACGGGACCAACAAGAACCAGGAGGCCAGUCCCAGGGUUCUGGAGAAGGACGGCCUGUACAGCUGGAGUAGCACCCUGACUCUCACUACCCAGGAGUGGACCAUGGCAGGAGAGGUGACCUGUGAAGCCCAGCAGAAAUACCAGACUCCAGUCACCAAGACCCUGAGGAAGGCUGACUGUUCUGGGUAGGACCCCUCAGUCACACACCCCUGUGGAGAGAGGCUGCUGGUUCCUCUGCUUUGACUCUGUUCUGAGACCAGAUGUUCUCUGUCUUAUUGAUCCCUGACAUGUAGACCAAAAGGGGGCUUUGCUUGAGUUUAUGUGUCAAUCCUCUCUGUAGACUGAGGUUGUAUCAGUGUUAGAUUUAAUGUGUUCUGUUUUAUUACUAUUAGAUACUGUAGGAAUGUUUGCUUUGAUGCUUUAAUUAAUGGAUGAAAACAAAGAUUUCCCUUUUGGACAAAGAUUCUUGUUGUUGUCAAUAAUGACAUUUUAGUCUUAAAUGUUGAAUGAAAUAGAAAUAGAUUCAUAAAACCCAUCAGACCUAAAUGUCAUUGCUUCGUUAUUUAGGUUUUCACUUGAAAUUAGAUCGUCAUCAAACUGUAGUUCAUAGUAACACAAGAUACAACGAUGUUUACAGAUGAACAGAAGGACUAUCCACUUGUAGCAGAUGGUAUGUUUUAUUAAAAUUUUCAGAAUGUUUAUGACCUGCUUGACUUCUAGACUUAUAAAGACAGUAAUCUAACAUGUUAUUGCUAUCUUGGACUCUCACCAAUGUGAUCAUGCCUGCAUUUAACUCAAAUAAAUAAUA